AGGGUUCGAUUAUGGCUCAGAUUGAACGCUGGCGGUAUGCUUAACACAUGCAAGUCGAACGGAAACGAAACUAGCUUGCUAGUAGGCGUCGAGUGGCGGACGGGUGAGUAACGCGUAGGAAUCUGCCUGAUAGUGGGGGAUAGCCCGAAGAAAUUCGGAUUAAUACCGCAUAAUCUAUUCGUAGUAAGGUGGGGGACUUUCGAGCCUCACGCUAUCAGAUGAGCCUGCGUAAGAUUAGCUUGUUGGUAGGGUAAAAGCCUACCAAGGCAACGAUCUUUAGCUGGUCUGAGAGGAUGAUCAGCCACAUCGGGACUGAGACACGGCCCGAACUCCUACGGGAGGCAGCAGUGGGGAAUAUUGGACAAUGGGGGCAACCCUGAUCCAGCAAUACCGCGUGUGUGAAGAAGGCCUGAGGGUUGUAAAGCACUUUCAAUUGUGAAGAAAAGUCAACGGUUAUUAUCCGUUGACCUUGACGUUAACUUUAGAAGAAGCACCGGCUAACUCCGUGCCAGCCGCCGCGGUAAUUC
rnacentral:rRNA from 1 species